rnacentral:lncRNA from 1 species
GGUAUGCACUUACAUGGAAUCUAUCGACCUUGAUAGAAGAGGAGUGAUCCUAUGUGAUUUGUUAGACUGAGUUCUAAGACCUUGGCCAGGGCAGAAAUAUAAAGUGGAGAAAGAGUUUUUCACUAUCGAACUCAAGUCAAAUAAAUCUAGACAUAUGACAGACGACGGAGUUUGACGAGUUUUCCAUGACCUCCGAUCUGUAGGGAUCCACGAUAGAAGGACUGUAUCAUAUGAUAACUGCACCUAGAGGUUCAUCAUUCUAUUCUGCUGGGUGGCCACUACAAACUACUAGGUGUCACUGGUGGAUGGUGAGACUCACAGGGAUCAUCUCGAUGGUCGAUAAUCCCUGGUGAGUUGAGUUGAAAUUGUUUCAACCCAUUGAAAGGAGUUUUCAAUGAUAUUGUGAUAGAGAUCAUAAUAUAUCUCACUACCAGUCAGAAUAGAACCUAUGGGGUCACACACAUUAGAGGUAUUGACCGAUCCAAUGGUUGAAUGUGAUUAGGAAUCACAAAUAAUCAAUUAGAUUGAUAAAUGAAAACCCGCUAAGAGUUAGUGGCUAGAAGAAGGAAUAAUUGCAUUCGGAUUAUAAUUUAAUUUAAUUAAUUGGAUUUAAUUAAUUGGACUUGAUCAUGAGUCCUACUUGGAGUGGAAUUCAUGGAGUCCUAAUUGGAUUAGGUUCAAAUUAAAUUAGAGUCCUACUUGGAAUAGAAUUUCUAAUGUCCUAAUU